rnacentral:rRNA from 1 species
CAAUAGCGUAUAUUAAAGUUGUUGCAGUUAAAAAGCUCGUAGUCGCAUUUCUGGCGAGAGGAAUUGGUCCGACAUUUAUUGUGGGUACUCGAUUCUCUCUCGCCAUCCUUGAGUGGUCCGUUCUGGCAUUUAGUUGUCGGGCAGGGGAUACCCGUCGUUUACUGUGAAAAAUUAGAGUGUUUAAAGCAGGCUUAUGCCGUUGAAUAUAUUAGCAUGGAAUAAUAAGAUAGGACUUCGGAACUAUUUUGUUGGUUUGCGUUACGAAGUAAUGAUUAAUAGGGACAGUUGGGGGUAUUCGUAUUCCAUUGUCAGAGGUGAAAUUCUUGGAUUUUUGGAAGACGAACUACUGCGAAAGCAUUUACCAAGAAUGUUUUCAUUAAUCAAGAACGAAAGUUAGGGGAUCGAAGACGAUUAGAUACCGU